UGCCAGUGCGACCUCCAAGGUGGCCACCGCGAGCUGCAUUCCCGGGCAAAUCCUUCUUCCUGAACCGAACGGUGUGAAGUCGAAGUUCUUUCCUUUGAAGUCCAGGUCGCUGCUCAUGAACCUCUCGGGCCGGAACUCUUCGGGUGCGUCCCAGUGUUUCGGGUCUCUGCUGAUUGCCCACGCGUUGAUCAGAACUCUUGUUUUCUUGGGGAUGUGGUAGCCUUGGAUCUGGCAGUCCUCGAUGGAUUCUCGCGGAAGCAACAAUGGAGUGGGAGGAUGCACCCGUAGGACUUCCUUGAGGACCGCCUUCAGGUAGACCAUAUCGUGCGUCUCGUCUUCUUUGACCAUGUCUUUCCCUGCAGCUAAUCCUCUCACCUCGUCCUGUAGCUUCUUCAGGGUCUCUG
rnacentral:lncRNA from 1 species